rnacentral:rRNA from 1 species
CAUGCAAGUCGAACGGCAGCGCGGGAGCAAUCCUGGCGGCGAGUGGCGAACGGGUGAGUAAUACAUCGGAACGUGCCCAAUCGUGGGGGAUAACGCAGCGAAAGCUGUGCUAAUACCGCAUACGAUCUACGGAUGAAAGCAGGGGAUCGCAAGACCUUGCGCGAAUGGAGNGGCCGAUGGCAGAUUAGGUAGUUGGUGAGGUAAAGGCUCACCAAGCCUUCGAUCUGUAGCUGGUCUGAGAGGACGACCAGCCACACUGGGACUGAGACACGGCCCAGACUCCUACGGGAGGCAGCAGUGGGGAAUUUUGGACAAUGGGCGAAAGCCUGAUCCAGCCAUGCCGCGUGCAGGAUGAAGGCCUUCGGGUUGUAAACUGCUUUUGUACGGAACGAAACGGUCUUUUCUAAUACAGAAGGCUAAUGACGGUACCGUAAGAAUAAGCACCGGCUAACUACGUGCCAGCAGCCGCGGUAAUACGUAGGGUGCAAGCGUUAAUCGGAAUUACUGGGCGUAAAGCGUGC